CUACGGGCCGCUCCAGUGAGGAAUAUUGCACAAUGGGGGGAACCCUGAUGCAGCAACGCCGCGUGGAGGAUGACGCAUUUCGGUGUGCAAACUCCUUUUAUAUGUCAAGAAAAUGACGGUAGCAUAUGAAUAAGCACCGGCUAACUCCGUGCCAGCAGCCGCGGUAAUACGGAGGGUGCAAGCGUUACUCGAAAUCACUGGGCGUAAAGGACGCGUAGGCGGGUUGGAAAGUCAGGUGUGAAAUCCUACAGCUUAACUGUAGAACUGCACUUGAAACUUCUAAUCUAGAGUAUGGGAGGGGGAGAUGGAAUUAGUGGUGUAGGGGUAAAAUCCGUAGAUAUCACUAGGAAUACCUAAAGCGAAGGCGAUCUCCUGGAACAUUACUGACGCUAAGGCGUGAAAGCGUGGGGAGCAAACAGGAUUAGAUACCCUCGUAGUC
rnacentral:rRNA from 1 species